GCUUGCCAUCUCAGUAUCCAGUCAUUCCUCCAAUAUUCGAAAUAGAAGGCCAUGGAUCACUCAGUUCUGCCAAAGCUGACCAGCUUUAUUUGCUUCUCAUGAAGGAAGCUUGUUCUCGUCUUAACUCCCUCAUGAUUUACGAUCUCAUCACCAUCGCACAGGAUUUUGUGCAGGAAACAAUGGCAGAGGUCCGAGAGAGGAGGAAGAAAGAGGAAGUUACUGUUGAUGAAGAG